rnacentral:rRNA from 1 species
UACGAAGGGGGCUAGCGUUGCUCGGAAUCACUGGGCGUAAAGGGUGCGUAGGCGGGUCUUUAAGUCAGGGGUGAAAUCCUGGAGCUCAACUCCAGAACUGCCUUUGAUACUGAAGAUCUUGAGUCCGGGAGAGGUGAGUGGAACUGCGAGUGUAGAGGUGAAAUUCGUAGAUAUUCGCAAGAACACCAGUGGCGAAGGCGACUAACUGGACAAGUACUGACGCUGAGGUACGAAAGCGUGGGGAGCAAACAGG